rnacentral:rRNA from 1 species
GAUGAACGCUGGCGGCGUGCCUAACACAUGCAAGUCGAGCGAGAAUUGAUGGAAUGAGGACUUCGGUCCGAGUGAAGUCGAGGAAAGCGGCGGACGGGUGAGUAACGCGUGGGUAACCUGCCCCAUACAAUGGGAUAGCCACUGGAAACGGUGAUUAAUACCAUAUAAUGCUUUAUAAUCGCAUGAUUUAAAAGCUAAAGAUUUAUCGGUAUGGGAUGGACCCGCGUCUGAUUAGCUAGUUGGUGAGGUAACGGCUCACCAAGGCGACGAUCAGUAGCCGACCUGAGAGGGUGAUCGGCCACACUGGAACUGAGACACGGUCCAGACUCCUACGGGAGGCUG